GCCUGUCAGAACCGGAGGAGGCAGGGAAGAAAGGCACAGUGUUGUGUGCGUGUGUGUAUGUGUGUUUGGCGUCCGUCUGGAAAGUGGAGCAGCAGCAGCAGCACAUAACAAUUUCUGCUGCUGAAAUGACCUAACUGAACACCGCUGUUACAGGGGGGGGAGACCCGCCAGUCCGCACACAACUCCGCGGGAUAUCGAUCCGGACGCUACACCGAUCCUAACAAGUCAUUGGCCUUAUUUUUCCUCGGAAACUGCCGCAUUUCUUCUCUUUUUCUUGGGGACUGUCACUGUCUGCCCGCGCGUGUGUGUGUGUGUGUGUGUGUGUGUGUGUUCGUAACAACAGACACUUGUAUGGGGGUAGGAGCGGUCUACUCUGAGCGCAUAGGACUCCGCCGAGGAUGCAUGGCCCCGAGUCGAUGCAGUCACUCAUCUCACGGAGAUAAAUAAAGAAAAGCUUUUAUCGGGAGGGAGGGAGGGAGGGCGGGAGGGAAGGGGGUUGGCUUACGCGAAACAACACAUUUGAUACGCUGUCGGCGUUAGCUUGGGCUAACACAGCUGAGGCCGGGUUUGUUGACGGCGGAUCCGGGGCUUCUGACAUGUCUGUGUGAGAACUAAGUCGCAGAAGUAUAAGGCGACGUGUGGGACCGGUUCGUCUGGACACGGGCUGGACUGCGAUCUGUUUCCGCCUUGCAUGCAUUUUGUACACGGCUGGAGGAACUAGUCGGAAAUCGCCUUCUUUCUUUAAGAGAUUUCCUUUUUCUGGACUCUCGACGCCUGGAGAUCUGUUUCUGCAUCAGGGCCAUGCAUCGCCACGCCCACCAGCAGCUGCUGCCCACCUAGAGGCUCCGCCCCUCUCCCCCCCGCCCCACCCCCACCCCCCCCCACCCCUCCCCCAGGCACGCUCGGCGCUCGUUAGGGUCCGCCGCCUGGAGGAUGCUUGGAAUGUGUCGCGGGCGCAGGAAGUUUCUGCUGGCCACCGUCGCCCUGCUCUUCAUCCCCGCCCUUACCUGGCUCUACCUCACGGCCGGGAACUUCCAAGGUGAGUUGAUGUUGACG